GCCCAGUGUCAGUGUUACCUGGCAACGAGAGGAGGAGGAAGAGGAGGGACAGCCCCUCUGUUCCAAACGCCUCUCGAUUCUUUUGAACAGAGAGUGGAGGAGCACUUGGAGGAGACUUCAGUGUUCUUCAACCAGACGACAGGAGAAGACAGCAGAGAGAGACCAGGCUCACACAGGGCUGACCAGCGAGUCAGGGGGCUCUACGCCUCAGGGCUCUGGCCCUGUGUUGCAAACUAGUCUCACUUCUGCCUCAGAACCAGGGGAGGAGCACCUGGAAGAGACCUUGGUGCUCCUCAACGAGACGACAGAAGGAGAGGGCAGAGAGAGACCAGGCUCACACAGGGCUGACCAGCGAGUCAGGGGGCUCUACGCCUCAGGGCUCUGGCCCUGUGUUGCAAACUAGUCUCACUUCUGCCUCAGAACCAGUGAAGGAGCACCUGGAAGAGACCUUGGUGUUCCACCGACAGGGACCCACCGCUGACAGUCACCAUGUCAGACAGGGAGGAGGAGGCCCCCAGAGGGAGGGAGCCAGCAUGCCUGCUGUGUCAGCAAUCAGAGGCUGACCCAGACAUCUGUGGACAUAAAAUCCAGAGAAAUGGGAUCUGUGCCCACGUGUUCUGCCUGUAUUUUGCCAGCCUCCUUGAUCAGCAAGAGAAUGAAAGAGUAGGACUCCAGGGCUUUCUCCCAAGGGAUAUCCUACAUGCAGUCAACCGAGCAGCACAGACGAGCUGCUGCAUCUGUGGCAAGAGCGGGGCCACCAUCUCUUGCUGUGAUACAGAAUGUGACCUGAGCUUCCACCUGCCCUGUGCCAAGCAGGGACGCUGUGUCACCCAGUUCAUUACACCGUACAGGGCCUUCUGCCCCACACACAGCCCAGAACAGGCAGUGGAGGCGACUCCAGAGCCGGGCACCCAAUGCCUCAUCUGCAUGGAGCCUGUGGAGCACAGAAUGACCUUCAACACCCUGGUGUGCCCAGCCUGCAAAACCGCCUGGUUCCACAGAGACUGCAUCCAAGGACAGGCUCUGUGCUCUGGAAUUUUAUCCUUCCAGUGCCCCCUCUGCAGAAACACUCAGGAAUUUCUCGUGGAGAUGUUUCUCUUGGGAAUCCGAAUCCCCUUCAGAGAUCCAUCAUGGGAGGAGAAUGAUGCGUUCGCUGAACUGGGAGACAGACACAGGCGCUGUGAUGCCAGUGAGUGCCUUUGUCCAGGAGGCAGGCAGGAGGCAGAGGAGGAGGGGUCCUGGGAACUGCUCCUGUGCUCCUCCUGUGCUGCUGAGGGCACCCACAGACACUGCUCUGGCCUGAGGGACAGUAUAACCAGCUGGGAAUGUGAUGGCUGUGCUGGUCUGGGCACAGCCCCCCGAGAUGAGUCAGAGCUUGCUGGCCCCUGCAUGGCCAGACAGUCAGGACUGGAGCCUUCUGACAGCUCCGGGGAACCCGAGACCACCAGCACCAACUCAGGCAGCCUGGUGCUACCAGGGCUGUCUCCCAGUUCUGCACCACUGGAGACCAUCAGCCCCAGCACCAGCGUCCCGGUGCCAUCUCCUGGAACUUCAGCACCACGGACCAGCAACCACCAUACCAACCCCCAGGCAACAUCGGAGCAGUCUCUGCAAACUCCCUCACAGGAGACGAGCAGCUCCAGCCCUGACAGUCAGGCAACAUCGGGGUCAUCCCAGAGCAGCUUCACAGCAACUGAGGACAGCAGCUGCUCCAGCAGUCGGGGGCCUGACCGCCGGCAAAACCACCCCCGUCGGCAACGUCGGGCCCAAAAUCCACGCCUUCGGUCCAGAAGUCCCCAGGACAGGACCCGUGUGCCAACACCAAGUCCUGCGAGGCGCAGGCCCAGGCAGAGACCAUCAGGGACAUCCCGCAGGCAAAACCGCUCUUGCCUGCAACAUCAGACCCCACAUCCAUCUGGCCGGUCCAGAAGCCGCCGUGACAGGAGCCGUGUGAGAGCACCGAGUGCUGGGAGGAGCAGCCGCAGCCAGGAAACAUCAAGCACAUCCCGCACACAAAAUCGCUCUCACCAACAACAUCAGACCCGAAAUCCAUCUGGCCGGUCCAGAAGUCACCAUGACAGAAACCAUGUGAGAGCACCAAGUGCUGGGAACCACACCCCCACCCAGGAAGCAUCAGGGACAUCCCACUGCCGAAACCGCGCCCGCCAGCAACGUCGGCCCCAAAAUCCACACCUUCAGUCCAGAAGUCGACGUCACAGGAGCCACGUGAGAACAGCAAGGGCUGAGAGCUGCACCUCCACCCAGGAAGCAUCAGAGACAUCCAGCAGCCGAAACCGCUCCCGCCAGCAACGUCGGCCACAAAAUCCACACCAUCGGUCCAGAAGUCGCCGUGAGAGGAGCCAUGUCCCAGCAUCAAGUACUGGGAGGCGCAGGCCCAGCCAGGAAGAAUCAGGGACAUCCCGCAGGCGAAAUAGCUCCCGCCGCCAAAGUCGGACCUCAAAUCCAUCUGGCCGGUCCAGAAGUCCCCACGGCAGGAACCGCACGCCAGCACCGAGUGCUGGGAGGCGAAACUCGAGGGAGACAGCAGCCAGGACCUCCCAAAGGCAACAGCACUCCCGGCAGCAGCGUCGGACCUCAAAUUCAUCCAGCGGAUCCCGAAGUCGCCGUGAUGGAAGGCGUGAGAGAGCACCCAGUGCUGGGAGUCCCACUCACCGCUCAGACGGUGAGACAGGGACUCACCACUGACACGUCCCACACCAGACAGAGAGGAGGAGGCCCCCAAAGGGAGGGAGCCAGCCUCCAGAGAUGACUUGGACCUUGCUGGCCCCAGCAUGGCCUGACUGUCAGGACUGGAACCUUCUGACAACUCCAGGGAACCCGAGACCACCAGCA